rnacentral:rRNA from 1 species
UACGGAGGAUCCGAGCGUUAUCCGGAUUUAUUGGGUUUAAAGGGUGCGCAGGCGGGAGAUUAAGUCGGCGGUGAAAUUUUGCAGCUCAACUGUAAAAGUGCCUUCGAAACUGGUUUCCUUGAGUGUAGAUGAAGUAGGCGGAAUUUGUGGUGUAGCGGUGAAAUGCAUAGAUAUCGGGAGGAACACCAGUGGCGAAGGCGGCUUUCUGGUCUAACCCUGACGCUGAGGAGCGAAAGCUAGGGGAGCAAACGGGAUUAGAUACCCCGGUAGUCCCUGAGCGGG